GUACUGUUGAAGAGUCCCAAACUAGAACGAAAUAGCUGUCCAGUAC
rnacentral:hammerhead_ribozyme from 1 species